rnacentral:tRNA from 1 species
GCCUUCAUGGUGUAUUGGAUACACGUUCGGCUAGCAAUCGAGAUGUCUGGAGUUCGAUUCCUAGUGAGAGCG